CAGUCGCCACGGUAACACGAGGGGGGCAAGCGUUGUUUGGAAUUAUUGGGCGUAAAGGGCGCGUAGGCGGUUUGGCAAGUUUGGUGUGAAAUCUUCGGGCUCAACUCGAAGUCUGCACCGAAAACUGCCGGGCUUGAGUAUGGGAGAGGUGAGUGGAAUUUCCGGUGUAGCGGUGAAAUGCGUAGAUAUCGGAAGGAACACCUGUGGCGAAAGCGGCUCACUGGACCAUAACUGACGCUGAGGCGCGAAAGCUAGGGGAGCAAACAGGAUUAGAUACCCGCGUAGUCCCUGUCUCUUAUAU
rnacentral:rRNA from 1 species